rnacentral:rRNA from 1 species
AAAGACCUUAUGCUUUUGGAGCGGCCGAUGUCUGAUUAGCUAGUUGGUAAGGUAAUGGCUUACCAAGGCAACGAUCAGUAGUUGGUCUGAGAGGACGACCAGCCACACUGGGACUGAGACACGGCCCAGACUCCUACGGGAGGCAGCAGUGGGGAAUUUUGGACAAUGGGCGCAAGCCUGAUCCAGCAAUGCCGCGUGAGUGAAGAAGGCCUUCGGGUUGUAAAGCUCUUUCAGUUGAGAAGAAAAGAUUGUGACUAAUAAUUGCAAUUCAUGACGGUAUCAACAGAAGAAGCACCGGCUAACUACGUGCCAGCAGCCGCGGUAAUACGUAGGGUGCAAGCGUUAAUCGGAAUUACUGGGCGUAAAGGGUGCGCAGGCGGUUCUGUAAGUCAGAUGUGAAAUCCCCGGGCUUAACCUGGGAACU